rnacentral:tRNA from 1 species
GGCACUAUGGCCGAGUGGUUAAGGCGAAAGACUCGAAUUUGGUGACGUUCGACAUCUUUUCUCGUUUCGAGGCGCAGGUUCGAGUCCUGCUGGUGUCG